GGUAAGGUGACAGGGAUACUGGAGUGAUGGAGGUAGAUAUUGAUAGGGGUAAGGUGACAGGGAUACUGGAGUGAUGGAGGUAGAUAUGUAUAGGGGUAAGGUGACAGGGAUACUGGAGUGAUGGAGGUAGAUAUUGAUAGGGGUAAGGUGACAGGGAUACUGGAGUGAUGGAGGUAGAUAUUGAUAGGGGUAGGUGACAGGGAUACUGGAGUGAUGGAGGUAGAAAUUGAUAGGGGUAAGGUGACAGGGAUACUGGAGUGAUGGAGGUAGAUAUUGAUUAGGGGUAAGGUGACAAUGAUACUGGAGUGAUGGAGGUAGAUAUUGAUAGGGG
ensembl:lncRNA